rnacentral:rRNA from 1 species
GACGAACGCUGGCGGCGUGCCUAACACAUGCAUGUCGAGCGAAUGAAGUUCCUUCGGGAACGGAUUUAGCGGCGGACGGGUGAGUAACACGUGGGCAACCUGCCUCAUAGAGGGGAAUAGCCUUCCGAAAGGGAGACUAAUACCGCAUAAGAUUGUAGUACCGCAUGGUACAGCAAUUAAAGGAGCAAUCCGCUAUGAGAUGGGCCCGCGGCGCAUUAGCUAGUUGGUGAGGUAACGGCUCACCAAGGCGACGAUGCGUAGCCGACCGGAGAGGGUGAUCGGCCACAUUGGGACUGAGACACGGCCCAGACUCCUACGGGAGGCAGCAGUGGGGAAUAUUGCACAAUGGGGGAAACCCUGAUGCAGCAACGCCGCGUGAGUGAUGACGGCCUUCGGGUUGUAAAGCUCUGUCUUCAGGGACGAUAAUGACCGUACCUGAGGAGGAAGCCACGGCUAACUACGUGCCAGCCGCCGCCGUAA